GACGAACGCUGGCGGCGUGCUUAACACAUGCAAGUCGAACGGAAAGGCCCUGCUUUUGUGUGGUUCUCGCGUGGCGAACGUGUGUGUUACACGUGAGUAACCUUCCCUUUACUUUGUGAUAUCUUCAGGAAACUGCGGCUAAUACCUGAUAGGUGCUCCUGCUGCAUGGUGGGGUUUGGAAAUUUUCGGCUGUUGUGGAUCGACUCGCGGCUUAUCAGCUUGUUGGUUGGGUGGUGGCUUACCAAGGCUUUGGAGGGUAGCCUGCAUGGGAGGGGGAACGGCGACAUUGGGACUGAGAUACGGAGCAGACUGGUACGGGAGGCAGCAGUGGGGAAUAUUGCACAAUGGGGGGAAGGGUGAUAAAGAAACGCCGCGAGCGGGAUGAAGGCCAUCGGGUUGUAAACCGCAUUAGCCUGAGACGAAGCGUGAGUGACGGUAAUGGGUAAAGAAGCACCGGCUAACUACGUG
rnacentral:rRNA from 1 species